UGGGGAAUAUUGGACAAUGGGCGAAAGCCUGAUCCAGCCAUGCCGCGUGAGUGAUGAAGGCCUUAGGGUUGUAAAGCUCUUUCGUCAGGGAAGAUAAUGACGGUACCUGAAGAAGAAGCCCCGGCUAACUUCGUGCCAGCAGCCGCGGUAAUACGAAGGGGGCUAGCGUUGCUCGGAAUCACUGGGCGUAAAGCGCACGUAGGCGGCUUUCUAAGUCAGGGGUGAAAUCCCGGAGCUCAACUCCGGAAC
rnacentral:rRNA from 1 species